rnacentral:piRNA from 1 species
UUUACCUAAAGAGAUUAGUAA